AGUGAACGCUGGCGGUAGGCCUAACACAUGCAAGUCGAACGGCAGCACAGUAAGAGCUUGCUCUUACGGGUGGCGAGUGGCGGACGGGUGAGGAAUACAUCGGAAUCUACUUUUUCGUGGGGGAUAACGUAGGGAAACUUACGCUAAUACCGCAUACGACCUACGGGUGAAAGCAGGGGAUCUUCGGACCUUGCGCGAUUGAAUGAGCCGAUGUCGGAUUAGCUAGUUGGCGGGGUAAAGGCCCACCAAGGCGACGAUCCGUAGCUGGUCUGAGAGGAUGAACAGCCAGCUUGGAAGUGAGACAGGGUCCAGACUCCUGCGGGAGGCAGCAGUGGGGAAUAUUGGACAAUGGGGGAAAGCCUGAUCCAGCCAUACCGCGUGGGUGAAGAAGGCGUUCGGGUUGUAAAGCCCUGUUGUUGGGAAAGAAAAGCAGCAGGUUAAUACCCCGCUGUUCUGACGGUACCGAAAGAAUAAGCACCGGCUAACUUCGUG
rnacentral:rRNA from 1 species